GGGUCCCCGGCAGGGCAGCAGAGGGACAUUGCUGCCAGUCUGAAGUUGGGCUGGGGAGCAUCCCAUCUCCUCCCUGCUGCACUACCCAGGGCUCCUGCCUUUUCCUUGCAAAGCCUCCCUGCAGGGCAGCUGAGGACAUGUGGGUAGGGUAGGGUGAUGAUCCCGGGAGGAGGAGAGGCAGGACAGACCAUGCCCUGUCCCUGCUGCUGCUGCUGAAGCUGCGCCGGAGCCGGAGCCGUCGAUGUGGCUCCCCAGAGUUAGUUGCUCAGCAACCAGAAUCAAUUAAUAUGCUUUGCAGAAGUGCAGGGAAAGCCCGAGCUGCUGUCAGCGAGCAGGCAGGAGGCUGAGGGUGACUCAGGAUCCCACUCCUGCUGACUCCCAUUAGGUCCCACCCCAUCCUCUCCAAACACUCCCUUAGCCACCGUUCUUUUCCCCUUUCUGCUUCCCUACGGUGCUUAACGUGCGUGCCCCCAAAUUCUUCAGGCAAAGCACCUCGUUGCUCAAGAAGCUUCUUGCUUCAAGGCUUUUGCUUUUAGAUCUGAUUUGUAUUUUUUUGGUUAUUUGUCAGAUUUUCUUCAACACUUUUCUAGAAAUUCUAAUAUUUGCGUUCUUUGGGAAGGGAAAGGGAUAGCUGGUGUUUUUGUCAGAUGGUUUUAAAGAUGCAUCAGGAUGAAAAAGAUUGUUUGGUAGCUCACAGUUGAGCAGCAGCAAUGAAAUUGCAUCAUGUGUAAAUUGGGAAAGUUUUUGCCUCUUCCUUUGUUACGAAUGAUCAGCACUGCAUAUAUGAGACCAAAGAGUCCCUCUGAUGACACCGCGAAUCUGGGAAUGAAGAACUUCUUAGAGCUGAUUGGAAAUGGCAUUGCGGAGCUGAAACUUAACUGGAGGAAAUAUAUCUCCUGAAGAAGAAAAUAUAAUGCACUGUAAGGAUCUGUCUUCUGGUGAAAAAUUCAAGCCUAGAGAAAACUUGUCCGCUUUGUUAGUAAGAAUGGGUUGGACAAUUUUCUUCAAUUCCAAAGGAUAUCUGAAUGCCAUGCUGAGCUUAAUCUCUGCAGCAUGCUCUGUGCUUCUCAUCUCUUCCUGAUGCACUGCAUGGUUAUUCUGAAGGGGAGGAUAAAGAAACUGGCCACCAAGAUGGUAAUCACUAGCGGAAAUGAAGAAGAUAAAGGCAGUCAAGAAAAGGAAAGCAAAGAAGAAACCAUCUUGGCAAUGCUUGGAAUUAUUGGGACAAUUCUGAACCUCAUUGUGAUCAUUUUUGUGUAUAUUUAUACAACGUUGUAAACUAGAAGGCAUGCAAAUAGACCAGAUAAAAAGGCCAUUAAGAGUGACAACAAACGUUGCUGACUAUUGACAAGUUCUUUAAUCAGAAUUGACUCUGUAUUAUAUUAACACAUCAUAAAAGCACUGCCUGAAGGCAGCGAAGACUGAAGCACAAUUAAUUUAACAAGACUUUUUCACACAGUAAUAAGCUUAACUCUUCUCUCCUGCCCUCUCCCUUUUGGUUUGGUUUUCAGUUUGGGGGAGAAUGACUGCAGUUAUGUAAGUUGUAGCUUUGAAGAAAUUCACCAGGGUUAUGUUGUUUUAACACAAUUUAAAAAUAUUUAAAAAGGAAAACAAAAAAAGGAAAGGAAAAAAAAGAAAAUAAAGAAACUGUACAUAGAAAUGUAUGCUGUAUACCCGCAAAGACUGAACUCAAAGAUAGCUUCAUAGCCCAGAUCACGUGUCUUUUAGGUCAAAUGUUUUUUUUCUCUUGGUUCUUACUUUUACUUACAUUGAAUCUGACAAGCUUUUUAUUUAGAAUGAACAUAUGGUGCAAUCAUGAAAAAAAACAAUUCCAUUGAACAAGGUCUGCCUAAACCUGAUAAAAUGUUGGGAGAAAUACAUUAUAUGGCUAUUUUUCCUUUCUCAAUUGCUUAACAUCUGUGUCUGUUCAUACCAAUGUUUAUAAAUAUAUAUUUUUAAUAAAUGUGCUAUAUUUUUAGCAUGAACCAAAUAUUUGGAGACACUUGUAUUCAUGCAGCUAAAUUUUGUUUGAUGAAGUGCCCCUUUUGACAAUGGAUGUUAUCUUUCUCGGCAAUUAUACAGCAGUCUUGUGUGCAGCCCUCUCACUGAGGUCUGAAGCAAGCUCACAUCAUGCUCACAUGCAUGACUUGAAGUUGGAAUGUCAGCUGAAAAGCAUUGCUGCUUAAUAUGGGAAAUAGCAAAACAUUGUAAGGUGACCUUUGGAGACUGGUUGCAGAACGAAGGCUCUAUUUAUAGUCAAAAAAAGAAAAAGGGAAUGAAAGGAAUACUGAAGCAUCUCACAAAAUAUUGCAAAAUUCAUAGAAUUUAUGGCUUUCAGAAUCUGGUCACGCUCUCUAAGUACUUGUGCUGAGAGAAGUGAGCAGAGGUUUAUACAGUUGUAAAGAGAAAUUUAUAGAGCCUAUAGUGGGGGCUGAAGUGAAAUCCAGAUUGUAAAUACAGAGUGUAUUUUAAAUGUAAGGAUCAUUAACUCUUUCCGCUUCUCUGACAUGUGCUUUAACUGAGUUGGUGCAGUGAAAUUCUGACUUGUGUUUUUGACAGGAAUGUACAAUGAUGAUGAUCACUAUUUUUCUUCAGAGUUCAGUACCUACAAAUAUAUGAAGCAUUAAAAAUAUGAGACCUCAA